AUUGAACGCUAGCGGGAUGCUUUACACAUGCAAGUCGAACGAGUGGCGGACGUGUGAGUAAUAUAUCGGAACGUGCCCAGUAGCUGGGGAUAACUACUCGAAAGAGUGGCUAAUAACGCAUACUAUUGGAGCGGCCGCUAGCGGAUUAGAUAGUUGGGGGGGUAAAGGCUCACCAAGGCAACGAUCCGUAGCUGGUUUGAGAGGACGACCAGCCACACUGGGACUGAGACACGGCCCAUACUCCUACGUGAGGCAGCAGUGGGGAAUUUUGGACAAUGGGGGAAACCCUGAUCCAGCCAUCCCGCGUGUAUGAGAAGGCCUUCGGUUUGUAAAGUACUUUUGGCAUAGAAGCGGUAUCUGCAUAAUAAGCACCGGCCAACUACGUUCCAGCCGCCGCGGUAAUAC
rnacentral:rRNA from 1 species